UUUAUCUUUUUGUCAUUUUAUUGAUUUCAUUUUUAAUAAUAGUAUUGGUUAUUAAAAAAAGCUAGACACAUGAAUACGUAUUCUUAAAUAUGUAUAAAUAACAUAAAAGUAACCUUUAUAGUUAUAAAUUUUAUAAACUUUAAAUGUGAGAUCAAUGAGCGACCACUUUGCAUGCUGCGUAAGUGCAAAUGUGUUUAAAAAAUUUCAUACAUAUGUGUGCCGAAUGGCGGAAUACGCAAGCGCACUAUGCACAUAUAGCACAUGGUGCUGGGCAGUAUUAAGUUAACAUAACUAAACAUAACCUGGAUACAAUAAACCUGACGGUGUCUGACGAUAAAUUAACCAUUCAUAAAUGUGAUAAGUUUUCUGGAAAUAGAUAAUCUUUUUAAAGAAAUUGCUAAGAUGACGUUGAAAAAUUUUCCAAGAGGUGGAAAGAAACUUAAAGAGAAGAAGACUUCAGAUACGCUAUUUCAAAAGUAUGAAAAAGUUAAAAAAAAGAAUCGUGAGAAGGAGAAGACAACAAAGAAGAACGAAGAAGAAGAGAACUUUGUUGCUAACACUGCAGAACGAUUGACGUAUGCAACGAUAUCCGAGGGUUUGGUAGUACUGGGAUGUAUUUUUGAAGUAACGGAAUACGAUUUGAUAGUAUCAUUGCCAGGUGGUAUAGUAGGUCGCGUUCAAGUUACGGAUAUUAGCGACUCGUACACAAAUUUGUUACAAAGCAUAAUCAAAUCUGAAAAUGAUCAGCCAAAUGAAUUUAAACCAUUACCUGAACUGUAUUCUCGCGGAGAUUAUGUUGUAUGUUACGUAAAGACUAUACAACAUCAAGAACAGUGGCAAAUUGUAUUAUCCCUUGAUCCUCGACUAAUAAAUCAAAAUGUGAAUAUCAAUUGUUUGGAAAGUGGCUCAAAAAUAAUAUGUACUGUUAGUAGUAUAGAGGAUCAUGGAUACAUUGUAGAUUUAGGGUUAACAAAUGUAAGAGCAUUCAUACCCACCAAAGAUAUCAAUAAUAAAAAAUGCUUAGGUCUAGGUAAGCAGCUUCUAUGUCACGUAAAGGAAAUCAAAAGAAGCGAAAACACAUCGAUCAUGAAAUUGUCUACAAAAUCAGGGUUAGUUACAGCUGUGAAUGACAUUGAAAUCAAGUCAUUGGAUAAUUUGAUGCCAGGAAUUAAAUUUGAUCUGUGUAUAAAGAAGGUCCUCAUGAAUGGUUUAUAUGUUUCAUUUGGUGAAAAUAAUAUAGGCUAUGUAAAUCAAGUUUACUUAAACGAUCCUUUGUCUAAAUAUUCAAAGGGAAUGGAAGUUACUGGGACGUUACUGUAUAUUUUACCAACUGUGAAAUUUGGAUAUUUCAGUUUAACAAUAGGUAAACCUAAGGAUAAUACUGUUAAACCAGGAGAUAUUAUAGAAGAAGCUAUUGCCUUGUUUAGAGAAUCUGGCGGAGUUGUGUUGCAGUUAAAUAAGAGUGGAACACGGGGAUUUCUUCCUUUGAAAAGAACAAACGUUGAUUUUGAUAGAAUUAUUAAGAAGUUCGAACCUGGUACCAAACAUAAAUGUAGAGUGUUAUCUUAUUGUUGGAUGGACGCUACCUACGUCUGUACAAUGGAAAAAUCAUUAAUGGAACAGAGAUAUUUCUCGCUUUCUGACUUCAGACCAGGUGACAUAGCGAAUGUAAAAAUUACAAAUAUCAACGUAGAAAACGGUUUUAUCAAUGUACAGGCUGGAAAGAUUAAGGGACAUGUUACAUCGGAGCACGUAUCUGACGUGGGUAUAAGUGCCCUAAAGAAAUUGAAAGUUGAUAAGGAAGUCGAAGCAAAAGUUUUAGCUGUCAAUAAUGCACAAAAUAAAGUGUAUUUCACUUUGAAGAAGUCAUUAAUCAAGAGUGAUUUACCCGUUCUUAGCGAUAUACGACAAGCGAAAUGUGGAUCAACGCAUCAUGGUACCAUCAUUCAAAUAAAACAGAAUGGGUUGUUACUAAAGUUUUUUGGUGAUGUCAAAGGCUGGCUUCCGCGUACCGCGUCAGCUGUAAAUUGGAAUUAUUCCAUUGGACAAACAGUUUUGGUAAAGAUUGAAUCGGUGGAUCAAAAAUCGAGGAAGAUGAUGCUAAGUAUACCUACUAAAGAAACGAAGGCAAAAGAAAACGCAUUUGUUAUUGGAGAACGCGUAGAAGGAACAAUUACAGAAUCAUCUACUCAAGGUGUGCACUUGAGAAUCAGUAAAGAUGAUGGACAGAUUGUUAGUACUGGGUUUUUACCAGCAGGUCAUAUGUCUCCUUGUAUGGAAACUGCUGUUUUAUUAGCAUCGAAAUGUAUUCCUGGCGAUACUCUAACUGCUCUGGUGUUUGCUACGAUACCAAGCUUAAUUCUGACUAGAACAUUUUUGCCUGAAGAAAAAUAUAGGAAUUUCGAACAACUAAAAAUAGGCAAUUGUAUACCUUGUUCAAUUAGAGACAUCGAACCAACUGGCGUGAGAGUUAUUUUACCAAUUGCAGGCUGCGCUCCAUUCGGAUAUGUCUCUUACAGUAAUGUCAGUCAUUUUAAUUUAUUGUACAGACAUCAAAUUUUAUUUGCAAAAAUUAUCUCUAUUAACAAAAAAGAGAAGCAAUUAGGUUUAACACUCGCGCUAAAGAAAAUUUACGAUGGAGUACCCGAUUCUAACAGUAGAAUGAUGGCAGCAGUGGAUACUUUGAGCUUGCACUUCAAUAAAUUAGCAGAACUAUCGAAAAACUCGUUUUACGAGAGUAAGCCAAUUUCUUCGGUUACGUUAGGACAAAGACUUACUGGAAAAGUCGAAAAAAUUACAUCGGACGGACUUGUGAUUCAAUUAAAAAAUAAUUUGUUAGGUAUAGUAAACAAGAAUCAUUACUCGGGAAGUUUUACUGUUGGAGAUACAGUUUCUGGAACAAUCAUGUGGAAGAAUUAUGUCCACGAACUCGUUGAAAUGACCAUGUUACCUACGAUAAUGAAAAGUAUAAGCGGGAAGCAGAACAAGCAAUUGCAGCUUCCAGCGGGAAAAGUAAUACGAGGUACAAUUUUAAUGGUGACAAACUGGUUUAUUUUAAUUGUCUUGAAAGGCCAUGGUAAAGGCUCUUUGGCAGCAAUGCCAGUUCGACGUCACAUGAACGAUAUACAGCCAGAUUUAUCACCCUUUAUCGUUCAUUCAAAAAUUAGAUGUUACAUUAUAUUGAAUGCCAACGAAUCGGAUAUUAUGCCUAUCUGUAUGGUGAAAUCUGCGUUUGAAUCAAAGUAUGACACGGUAACAAAACCAAGUAAGAACAUUUUGAAGAGAAAGGGGACACUUGAGAAAAAUGAUCAGAUGCUCGCUAAAAAGGUAAAGACAGAGAAGGUUGAGACAGAAAACGCUAUUGACUGCGAUGAAAUUUCGAACGAAAUAAAAGCGAAACAGAAAAAGGGAACAAAAAUGACGAAGAUUAAAGAGGAGGAUGUGGAAUUAAUUGAAAAUAAUGUGGAGAGUCUAAACGAUAAUGCAAAUGAGGAAAAGCCAAGAAUACCGGAGUGUGGAUUCUUUUGGGAUGACAAGCCUAAUUUAGAUCUCCUUAAGAAUAAAGACUCGUCUAGCGACAGCGAAGAUGAAACAGAACAACCAAAGCAGAAGAAGAAAAAAUUGAGCGCGGCUGAACGUCGGGAACAAGAGAGACAAAAGGAACGUGAAAUUCGUCAAAGAGAAGAGGCCUUAGCCAGUAAUCAAUUGCCAAAUUCUGUUGAUCAAUUCGAUAGAUUAGUUUUGGCAAGUCCGGAUAGUUCGAUAAUUUGGUUACAGUACAUGGCGUACCAUCUGCAAACGGCAGAAAUUGAGAAGGCAAGGGCAGUCGCAAGAAGAGCCACUAAAACGAUUAAUUUUAGAGAAGAGAAUGAGAGAUUAAACGUGUGGAAUGCCUGGUUAAAUUUUGAAUCGAAAUUCGGAACACCAGAAUCUUUAAAUGAUGUUUUCCAAGAGGCUGUGAGAACCAAUGAUUCGUUGAAGAUAUAUACUCACAUGUUAACUGUACAUAUCGAGGCUGGUAGACAAAUCGAAUUAGAAAAGAUAAUCAGCACCAUGCUGGGAAAAUUCAAGCAGAAUCCUCAAGUGUGGAUCGAGUGCGGCACAGGAUUAUUAAAAAUGGGUUUGAAAGAUAAAUCUAGACACACCAUGCAAAGAGCUUUACAAUCUUUACCAGCAUCCGAGCAUGUUAACUUGAUGGCAAAGUUCGCAAUUUUGGAAAACAAGUUUGGAGACAAAGAAAGAGCGCAGACCUUAUUCGAAGAAAUUCUGUGUUCCUAUCCUAAGCGUGUGGAUAUAUGGUCAUGUUACGUAGAUUCUUUAAUCAAAUCUAAUGAUAUUGAUAUCGCAAGAAAAGUACUGGAGCGAGCAGUUGUUCAGACACUACCACCAAGAAAGAUGAAGAGCAUAUUUAAAAAGUUCAUUAGCUUUGAAGAACAACAUGGUACCAGCGAAAAUGUUGCUCGUGUUCAACAGAUGGCUGUUGAAUAUGUAGAAAAACAAUGUAACAAGGAAUCUGGCGAAGCUAAUGUGAAUUAGAAUCAAAUGUUUUUUUAUACAUAUUCUUGUAAACGGCACAACAGUUUUUAUGGAUAGAUGAGAGAAUCUAUGAAAUAUUAUAAAUUAUAGCAAAUUUCAGUUACAAGAUUAACAUUGAAACAGAAUUAAACAUACAGAAAUAAAGCAUCUACCCAUAACGAAAUAUUUUCUUUGUGCAUUUUGAAAAAAAAAGAUAUGUAUACCCUCCGAUCGGAGGGUACCCCAUUUUCAUUUAAAUUGAACAAUUUUAAACUCGUCCCAUAAGGGUCUGCGUUAAAAUUACAAAAUUUUUAUAUAAUUUUUCAUAAAACUGGGAUAGUCAAUUUAAAUCGAAAUAGGGUCCUAUGAUUUAUAUUUAAUGAAAGAACAAUCGAGUGAAGUUUUAUUAAAAUCCUACAUCCACGGAACAACUACCGCAAUUGUAAAACAGUCAGUGUUGGCUAUCAGGUAGUUGAAAUAACGCGCGUUACUGUAACGUGGCAGCACUGGUCUGUCCGUCGUUCCACCAUAGUUGCACACUUCCACGCCACCCUAGGUAAUCGAGACUCGAGAAAUGUUCGUCUGGUCUUGUCUGCGCUAGCGCAGAAUACAGCAGAAUACGGUAGUCGGCGAAGCGAUGACUGUCAACGCGGAAAUCGGCAACCUUGUAAUCGCCAUAUUGUUUGCACGCACGUUGCGUUAGCAAAGUCGUCAAAGUGGUGAUAAUCUCGUGGUGUUACAAGUGUUCGCGGCGCGGUGUUGUCCACCGGAGAAAAAAAGGAAGUGUGUCUGCCUGGAAAUAGGUCAGUUUCGUCGUCGGCGUACAGCAAUACGGGCACCGGCGUCGGCACGGGCACGAAUGUGACAGCGAACGGCACCAGCGGCGGCACCAGCAACUCCCGAUACGGAUUGUCCACGUCGUCGUCCUCGUCCUCGAUCUCCG